ACAAGCGUAGGGCCCAUUCCGUCGAGGGAAAGUGAACGUGAGGGCGGCGGCGUCGCACCACAGUUACGCGCAGACGUCGUACUGCAACUGGAUCAUUGUUUUCAUAAGAAGCGUUGAAGACAGCUAAGUGGGAGCGGCUCACUGUAGCAAAAACCGCUUAGAUCAUUGAGACCAAACUUAGCCCUAUAUAUUUUGUGUUACGCUGGCGGCACAUUCUGGGCAUUCCAGCAUGGCUUUGACUCAAGUUGAGAGCUACAUUGGGAUGUCGGACAUAUCAUCACCAGAGGACUUCAGUCAUCAGGCAUCAUCAAAGAGGUCACGAAGUCCAUCUGUAGAGGGCGAGGAGAGUCGUGGCAGGUCCUCGCACAGGUCAUCCAAGAAAAAGAAAAAACAUCAUCAUCAUCACAGGUCCAAGAGCCACAAACAUAGACAUUCCAGCAGCAAACACAAAAAGCACCGUCGCCACCGGGACCGCUCGGACGAGCGUCCGCCAGGCUCGCCGCCGGCGGCCGACGGCCCCGCCGCC